AACGAACGCUGGCGGCAUGCCUAACACAUGCAAGUCGAACGAGACCUUCGGGUCUAGUGGCGCACGGGUGCGUAACGCGUGGGAACCUGCCCUUAGGUUCGGAAUAACUCCCCGAAAGGGGUGCUAAUACCGGAUAAUGUCUUCGGACCAAAGAUUUAUCGCCUUUGGAUGGGCCCGCGUUGGAUUAGCUAGUUGGUAGGGUAAAAGCCUACCAAGGCGACGAUCCAUAGCUGGUCUGAGAGGAUGAUCAGCCACACUGGGACUGAGACACGGCCCAGACUCCUACGGGAGGCAGCAGUGGGGAAUAUUGGACAAUGGGCGAAAGCCUGAUCCAGCAAUGCCGCGUGAGUGAUGAAGGCCGUAGGGUUGUAAAGCUCUUUUACCCGGGAUGAUAAUGACAGUACCGGGAGAAUAAGCUCCGGCUAACUCCGU
rnacentral:rRNA from 1 species